CCGCAUGAUCGAAAUACCAAAGAUUUAUCGCUGAAGGAUGAAUUCGCGUCUGAUUAGGUAGUUGGUGGGGUAACGGCCUACCAAGCCGACGAUCAGUAGCCGGACUGAGAGGUUGAUCGGCCACAUUGGGACUGAGACACGGCCCAGACUCCUACGGGAGGCAGCAGUGGGGAAUAUUGCACAAUGGGCGCAAGCCUGAUGCAGCAACGCCGCGUGAAGGAAGACGGUUUUCGGAUUGUAAACUUCUGUUCUUAGUGAAGAAUAAUGACGGUAGCUAAGGAGCAAGCCACGGCUAACUACGUGCCAGCAGCCGCGGUAAUACGUAGGUGGCAAGCGUUGUCCGGAAUUACUGGGUGUAAAGGGAGCGCAGGCGGGUGAUCAAGUCAGCUGUGAAAACUACGGGCUUAACCCGUAGACUGCAGUUGAAACUGUUCAUCUUGAGUGAAGUAGAGGUUGGCGGAAUUCCGAGUGUAGCGGUGAAAUGCGUAGAUAUUCGGAGGAACACCGGUGGCGAAGGCGGCCAACUGGGCUUUAACUGACGCUGAGGCUCGAAAGUGUGGGGAGCAAACAGGAUUAGAUACCCUGGUAGUCCACACUGUAAACGAUGAUUGCUAGGUGUGGGGGGUCUGACCCCUUCCGUGCCGGAGCUAACGCAAUAAGCAAUCCACCUGGGGAGUA
rnacentral:rRNA from 1 species